UGUGGGAGCUGGCUUGCCUGCGAUGGCGGAGUGCCAGGUUAGAUAUAUUUAACUGACCCACCGCUAUCGCGGGCAAGCCCGCUCCCACA
rnacentral:misc_RNA from 1 species